UGCCAGCCGCCGCGGUAAUACGGAGGGUGCGAGCGUUAAUCGGAAUCACUGGGCGUAAAGCGUACGUAGGUGGCAAAGUCAGUCAGGCGUGAAAGCCCUCGGCUCAACCGAGGAAUUGCAGGGUGAACCGUGCAUCUUGAGACGAGUAGGGGCUGUCGGAACGCUAGGUGGAGUGGUGAAAUGCGUUGAUAUCUAGCGGAACGCCGAAGGAGAAAUCAGGCAGCUGGGCUUGUUCUGACGCUGAGGUACGAAAGCGUGGGGAGCGAACGGGAUUAGAUA
rnacentral:rRNA from 1 species